AGGGUCGGCCAGGCGGUCGCGUCACCGAAAGGUGCCGAGGAACGUCCGGGCUCCACAGAGCAGGAUGGUGGGUAACACCCACCCGGGGUAACCCGCGAGACAGUGCCACAGAGAAUAGACCGCCCGCAAGGGUAAGGGUGAAACGGUGGUGUAAGAGACCAC
rnacentral:RNase_P_RNA from 1 species